rnacentral:rRNA from 1 species
UGCCAGCCGCCGCGGUAAUACGGAGGGUGCGAGCGUUAAUCGGAAUUACUGGGCGUAAAGCGCGCGUAGGUGGUUUGAUAAGCUAGCUGUGAAAGCCCCGGGCUCAACCUGGGAACUGCAGUUAGAACUGUCUGACUAGAGUAUAGUAGAGGGUGGCGGAAUUUCCUGUGUAGCGGUGAAAUGCGUAGAUAUGACAUAGAACACCAAUAGCGAAGGCAGCUCACUAAGUCAUCAUUGACGCUGAGGGACGAAAGCGUGGGGAGCGAACAGGAUUAGAUA